rnacentral:tRNA from 1 species
GCCGGAUUAGCUCAGUUGGUAGAGCAAUCGCCUCGUAAGCGAUAGGUCCGCGGUUCGAUUCCGCGAUCCGGCACCA